UUGAACGCUGGCGGCAGGCCUAACCCAUGCAAGUCGCACGGUAACAGGAAGCAGCUUGCUGCUUUGCUGACGAGUGGCGGACGGGUGAGUAAUGUCUGGGAAACUGCCUGAUGGAGGGGGAUAACUACUGGAAACGGUAGCUAAUACCGCAUAACGUCGCAAGACCAAAGAGGGGGACCUUCGGGCCUCUUGCCAUCGGAUGUGCCCAGAUGGGAUUAGCUAGUAGGUGGGGUAACGGCUCACCUAGGCGACGAUCCCUAGCUGGUCUGAGAGGAUGACCAGCCACACUGGAACUGAGACGCGGUCCAGACUCCUACGGGAGGCAGCAGUGGGGAAUAUUGCACAAUGGGCGCAAGCCUGAUGCAGCCAUGCCGCGUGUAUGAAGAAGGCCUUCGGGUUGUAAAGUACUUUCAGCGGGGAGGAAGGGAGUAAAGUUAAUACCUUUGCUCAUUGACGUUACCCGCAGAAGAAGCACCGGCUAACUCCGUG
rnacentral:rRNA from 1 species